rnacentral:rRNA from 1 species
UACGUAGGUGGCAAGCGUUGUCCGGAUUUACUGGGCGUAAAGAGCGCGCAGGCGGUCAGAUAAGUCGAAUGUGAAAGCCCCCGGCUCAACUGGGGAGGGUCAUUCGAUACUGUUCGACUCGAAGGCAGGAGAGGGAAGUGGAAUUCCCGGUGUAGUGGUGAAAUGCGUAGAUAUCGGGAGGAACACCAGUGGCGAAGGCGACUUCCUGGCCUGUUCUUGACGCUGAGGCGCGAAAGCUAGGGGAGCAACG